rnacentral:lncRNA from 1 species
UUUAUAGGGUUACUUGUGUACCAAGCCAGAGAAAGAAAAUAAGAAUGGGAUUAUAUUUGCUGGGUAUUUUUAUUAUGAGUGAAAUAAAUGAUACUUCAAAAAAUAUUUAAAUAUCCGUUAUUCAUGACUUUCACUCUAACGGACACAUUCUAAUCUUGCAUUUCCUUGUUUCUUUUAUUUUGUUCGAUUUACAGGUUUGCGUGUGUGAUAGUGAUCAUCAUCAAUGGGGA